UCUUCUUAGCUCAGUUGAUAGAGCAUGAGAUUCUUAAUCUCAGGGCCACGGGUUCAAGCUCCACCUUGGAGAA